GACAGGGCCUGUUAAUCUUAGUCGACUAAUUCUGUUAUUUGUUACCAACUUUAACCCGUUGGCAGAGGGCCUGUUAUUCUUUGGAUGCUAGCUCCAGGGUGUCGACUGGCCUCUAUUUCUAGAGGUGCUCAUAGCUAUCUGAGAGUUCAUAAAUCAUAUUCUUUUUCUUUCAUAAAUCAUAAUCAUCAUAAAUAGGUUGGAAAAUGAUAAAUGGCAU
rnacentral:lncRNA from 1 species